ACGGAAGGCAGCAGUGGGGAAUAUUGGGCAAUGGGCGAAAGCCUGACCCAGCAACGCCGCGUGAAGGAAGAAGGUCUUCGGAUUGUAAACUUCUUUUAUGAGGGACGAAGGACGUGACGGUACCUCAUGAAUAAGCCACGGCUAACUACGUGCCAGCAGCCGCGGUAAUACGUAGGUGGCAAGCGUUAUCCGGAUUUACUGGGUGUAAAGGGCGCGUAGGCGGGAAGGCAAGUCAGGUGUGAAAUCUAUGUGCUUAACCCAUAAACUGCAUUUGAAACUGUCUUUCUUGAGUGCUGGAGAGGUAGACGGAAUUCCUUGUGUAGCGGUGAAAUGCGUAGAUAUAAGGAAGAACACCAGUGGCGAAGGCGGUCUACUGGACAGUAACUGACGCUGAGGCGCGAAAGCGUGGGGAGCAAACAGGAUUAGAUACCCUGGUA
rnacentral:rRNA from 1 species